UGCCCAGCAACUCCUAUCCCUACCUCCACGCGGUACCGGCCGGAAACUAUGAGCAACCUUAGGGAAGAUCGGGUAACCAACCCAGGUGGGAACUUUGGUCAUAGGCUGACAGGGAAGG
rnacentral:ribozyme from 1 species